rnacentral:SRP_RNA from 1 species
GGCGGGUGGUUGGACGUUCAGGAUUGCGAAUUCGGUCAGGAUCGGAAGAAAGCAGCCGUAGCGAACACCAAACGGGUCGACUACCCAGCCAG